GCAUAUCAAUAAGCGGAGGAAAAGAAACCAACAGGGAUUGCCCUAGUAACGGCGAGUGAAGCGGCAACAGCUCAAAUUUGAAAUCUGGUCCUUUCAGGGCCCGAGUUGUAAUUUGCAGAGGAUGCUUCGGGUACGGGUGCCUACUGAGUUCCCUGGAACGGGACGCCAUAGAGGGUGAGAGCCCCGUCUAGUAGGAUACCCAGCCCAUGUGAAGCUCCCUCGACGAGUCGAGUAGUUUGGGAAUGCUGCUCUAAUGGGAGGUAUACUCCUUCCAAGGCUAAAUACCGGCUGGAGACCGAUAGCGCACAAGUAGAGUGAUCGAAAGAUGAAAAGCACUUUGAAAAGAGAGUCAAAUAGCACGUGAAAUUGUUGAAAGGGAAGCGCUCGCUACCAGACUUGAGUUAGGCGGUUCAACCGGGGCCACGCCCCGGGGCACUCCACCUGCUCAGGCCAGCAUCAGCUUUCCGUCGGGGGCAAAGGCGUCGGGAAUGUGGCUCUCCUCCGGGAGAGUGUUAUAGCCCGGCGUGUCAUACCCUUCGGGGGGCUGAGGUACGCGCUUCUGCAAGGAUGCUGGCGUAAUGGUAGCUAGUGACCCGUCUUGAAACACGGACCAAGGAGUCAACCUUAUGUGCGAGUGCCCGGGCGUAAAACCCCAGCGCGGAAUGAAAGUGAACGUAGGUGAGAGCUUCGGCGCAUCACCGACCGAUCCUGAUGUCCUCGGACGGAUUUGAGUGAGAGCAUAUAGGGUUGGACCCGAAAGAAGAUGAACUAUGCGUGUGUAGGGUGAAGCCAGAGGAAACUCUGGUGGAGGCUCGCAGCGGUUCUGACGUGCAAAUCGAUCGUCAAACAUGCGCAUGGGGGCGAAAGACUAAUCG
rnacentral:rRNA from 1 species